AUUGAACGCUGGCGGCAGGCCUAACACAUGCAAGUCGAACGAGUGGCGGACGGGUGAGUAAUGUCUGGGAAACUGCCUGAUGGAGGGGGAUAACUACUAGAAACGGUAGCUAAUACCGCAUACCAUCAGAUGUGCCCAGAGGGGCUUAGCUAGUUGGUGGGGUAACGGCUCACCAAGGCGACGAUCCCUAGCUGGUCUGAGAAGAUGACCAGCCACACUGGUACUGCGACAGGCGCCAGACUCCGACGGUAGGCAGCAGUGGGUAAUAGUGCACAAAGGGCUCAAGCUUGCUUCAGCCAUGCCGCGUGUAGGAGGAAGGCCUUCGGGUUGUAAGGUACUUUCAGCAGGGAGUCGUUACCCUCAGAAGAAGCACCGGCUAACUCCGUGCCAGCAGCCGCGGUAUUUC
rnacentral:rRNA from 1 species